rnacentral:rRNA from 1 species
CACUGCUAUCGGGGUUCGAUUAAGCCAUGCGAGUCGAGAGGGUUCAGACCCUCGGCGCACUGCUCAGUAACACGUGGAUAACCUACCCUGAGGAGGGGGAUAACCCCGGGAAACUGGGGAUAAUACCUCAUAGGUUUCAGAUGCUGGAAUGCUCUGAAACCGAAAUGCUCCGGCGCCUCAGGAUGGAUCUGCGGCCGAUUAGGUUGUUGUUGGGGUAACGGCCCAACAAGCCCGUCAUCGGUACGGGUUGUGAGAGCAAGAGCCCGGAGAUGGAUUCUGAGACACCAAUCCAGGCCCUACGGGGCGCAGCAGGCGCGAAACCUUUACAAUGCGAGCAAUCGUGAUAAGGGAACCCCGAGUGCCUGAAACCAGGCUGUUCAGGUGUUUAAAAAGCACCUGGAGAAAGGGCCGGGCAAGACCGGUGCCAGCCGCCGCGGUAAUACCGGCGGCUCGAGUGGUGGCCGCUAUUAUUGGGCUUAAAGCGUUCGUAGCUGGGUUGUUAAGUCUCUUGGGAAAUCUCACGGCUCAACCGUGAGGCGACUAA